ACUGAUGGUCGGCAAUGACCUCUACUGUUAGAAAAUAAAAAAAAAUGGUGGAAAACCAAACUGAAGUAAGGGAGGGAUUUUUUUCAGAGAAAUCUGGCGAUUGUCGGUUGAGGAUUGGGAUUUGAUGGAUGAGGAAGAAGAAAAAGAUCGUGAGAAGAAUUUUUACCUUUUUUUUGGUGAUGUUUGGACAUGAUUUCGAUGGAUUUAAAGAAAAAUCUUGGAAGAAGAAGAGAGCAAAAGACUUCUCUCGAUGGUGAACAG
rnacentral:lncRNA from 1 species